rnacentral:rRNA from 1 species
ACGAACGCUGGCGGCGUGCUUAACCCCUGCAAGUCGCACGGAAAGGCCCUGCUUUUGUGGGGUGCUCGAGUGGCGAACGGGUGAGUAACACGUGAGUAACCUGCCCUUGACUUUGGGAUAACUUCAGGGAACUGGGGCUAAUACCGGAUAGGAGCUCCUGCUGCAUGGUGGGGGUUGGAAAGUUUCGGCGGUUGGGGAUGGACUCGCGGCUUAUCAGCUUGUUGGUGGGGUAGUGGCUUACCAAGGCUUUGACGGGUAGCCGGCCUGAGAGGGUGACCGGCCACAUUGGGACUGAGAUACGGCCCAGACUCCUACGGGAGGCAGCAGUGGGGAAUAUUGCACAAUGGGCGGAAGCCUGAUGCAGCAACGCCGCGUGCGGGAUGACGGCCUUCGGGUUGUAAACCGCUUUCGCCUGUGACGAAGCGUGAGUGACGGUAAUGGGUAAAGAAGCACCGGCUAACUACGUG